UACGGAGGGGGCGAGCGUUAUUCGGAAUUAUUGGGCGUAAAGGGCGCGUAGGCGGGCUGUCAAGUUUGGGGUGAAAUGCCACGGCUCAACCGUGGAACUGCCUCAAAUACUGACGGUCUCGAGGGAGGUAGGGGCGAGCGGAACUAAUGGUGGAGCGGUGAAAUGCGUUGAUAUCAUUAGGAACUCCGGUGGCGAAGGCGGCUCGCUGGACCUUUUCUGACGCUGAGGCGCGAAAGCUAGGGGAGCAAACGGG
rnacentral:rRNA from 1 species